rnacentral:rRNA from 1 species
UACGUAGGGUGCGAGCGUUAAUCGGAAUUACUGGGCGUAAAGCGUGCGCAGGCGGUUCGUCGUGUCCGAUGUGAAAGCCCCGGGCUCAACCUGGGAAUGGCAUUGGAAACUGGCGGACUCGAGUGUGGCAGAGGGGGGUGGAAUUCCGCGUGUAGCAGUGAAAUGCGUAGAGAUGCGGAGGAACACCGAUGGCGAAGGCAGCCCCCUGGGCUAAC